rnacentral:sRNA from 1 species
UGGCAUGGACCACCACAGAGAACGGGAAAGCGGAGGGGAAGGAAGGGAGCGAGUGAGGACCAUUCAUGUGCUCCUUCACUCUCACCGCCACUCAGCUUCUGAUCAAGAACCGACUGUUUGAAACCUCCAUGCCCUUGUCUGCUGUCUUAAAAGUUGUUGAGACGCUGACCUACAACUAUUUACAGGAGACCCCAAAAGACUUCCAGCUGAAGAGAAAAUGCUGCCGUUUUCUAGUCUGCUGACUGAUGAAGGGCAGAAGGUGGAAUUAAGAUUAUGUCUCAGGGGCCUGGAGAGACCGCUUAGCAGUUACGAGCAAUUGCUGCUCUCACAGAGGACCUGCAUUUGCAGCACCCACACAGUGCCCUAAAACCAUUCCUAACUCCAGUUCCAGGGGUUGCUCAUCCUCUUCUGUC